GACAGAGGAUGCAAGCGUUAUCCGGAAUGAUUGGGCGUAAAGCGUCUGUAGGUGGCUUUUAAGUCCGCCGUCAAAUCCCAGGCUCAACCCUGGACAGGCGGUGGAAACUACCAAGCUGGAGUACGGUAGGGCAGGAGGGAAUUUCGUGGUGGAGGCGGUGGAAAUGCGUAGAGAUCGGAAAGAACACCAACGGCGAAAGCACUCUGCUGGGCCGACACUGACACUGAGAGACGAAAGCUAGGGGAGCGAAUGGG
rnacentral:rRNA from 1 species